rnacentral:lncRNA from 1 species
AUUACGAUGCAAUCUUCUGUUUUUAGCGGCAAUUUUUAUUGCUUUAUUCAAUAUCUCUAUACAUAUUGUAUUUCGUUUAUCUGUUUCAGAUACAAGAUGAGAUUUCAUUCAACUGACAAAUUCUGCGAAAGAAUGUUUGACACCUAUUUUUUUAUAUUUGAAAUCAAAUCUGUGCUAGACGAUCAUCCAUUAGAGCAGAGGUCCUCAACUUAGUGUACAAGUUCCCUGGGGGUAUCCGGGAAAGUUUUUGAGGGCACAUGCGAACCCUAAAGAACCCGAAAUGAUUGAAAACCGCUGCAUUCCAGAGUGGACAAAUUUGAAGAUAUGAACGACAGAUGACACCGUCGCAUAUACACAUACAGAAGAAUAAGGGAAAAAAUAAGAAGCAGAAAGGGAAAAAUUAAAAACAGAGCUAAUAAUGCAGUUAUGACGGACACGCAAUAGCGAGCAAUCAAUCGGAUAACGAGCACGAGUACAAG